UGUGAAGGAAAAGUACCUCUUUCAGCUUUCUUCUUUAAUCAGCAGCUUUCUACUCUUCUGUUGGCUGGAUUCCAAAGAAUAACUCCACAGUGCCAGACAUGACAUGAUUGACUGCCACCUACAAAAACACAACAAAGAGGAGGAUACACCUUACCUGAAUAUGACCUUUCAAAUGCAUCAUAGGCACACAGUGGGAGACUCACUGCCUUGAAGAUUUUAUACAGAAGGCAGAAAAAGAAAGAUAAAACAAAGAACAAAGUGCUUGUUAUGA